UCAGAGGCGAUGAAGGGCGUGCUAAUCUGCGAUAAGCGCCGGUAAGGUGAUAUGAACCGUUAUAACCGGCGAUACCCGAAUGGGGAAACCCAGUGUGACUCGUCACACUAUCAUUAACUGAAUCCAUAGGUUAAUGAGGCGAACCGGGGGAACUGAAACAUCUAAGUACCCCGAGGAAAAGAAAUCAACCGAGAUUCCCCCAGUAGCGGCGAGCGAACGGGGAGGAGCCCAGAGCCUGAAUCAGCAUGUGUGUUAGUGGAAGCGUCUGGAAAGGCGCGCGAUACAGGGUGACAGCCCCGUACACAAAAGCGCAUGUGCUGUGAGCUCGAUGAGUAGGGCGGGACACGUGGUAUCCUGUCUGAAUAUGGGGGGACCAUCCUCCAAGGCUAAAUACUCCUGACUGACCGAUAGUGAACCAGUACCGUGAGGGAAAGGCGAAAAGAACCCCGGCGAGGGGAGUGAAAAAGAACCUGAAACCGUGUACGUACAAGCAGUGGGAGCACCCUUUGGGGUGUGACUGCGUACCUUUUGUAUAAUGGGUCAGCGACUUAUAUUCUGUAGCAAGGUUAACCGAAUAGGGGAGCCGGAGGGAAACCGAGUCUUAACCGGGCGUUAAGUUGCAGGGUAUAGACCCGAAACCCGGUGAUCUAGCCAUGGGCAGGUUGAAGGUUGGGUAACACUAACUGGAGGACCGAACCGACUAAUGUUGAAAAAUUAGCGGAUGACCUGUGGCUGGGGGUGAAAGGCCAAUCAAACCGGGAGAUAGCUGGUUCUCCCCGAAAGCUAUUUAGGUAGCGCCUCGUGAAUUCAUCUCCGGGGGUAGAGCACUGUUUCGGCUAGGGGGCCAUCCCGGCUUACCAACCCGAUGCAAACUGCGAAUACCGGAGAAUGUUAUCACGGGAGACACACGGCGGGUGCUAACGUCCGUCGUGAAGAGGGAAACAACCCAGACCGCCAGCUAAGGUCCCAAAGUCAUGGUUAAGUGGGAAACGAUGUGGGAAGGCCCAGACAGCCAGGAUGUUGGCUUAGAAGCAGCCAUCAUUUAAAGAAAGCGUAAUAGCUCACUGGUCGAGUCGGCCUGCGCGGAAGAUGUAACGGGGCUAAACCAUG
rnacentral:rRNA from 1 species